rnacentral:rRNA from 1 species
AGUGAACGCUGGCGGUAGGCCUAACACAUGCAAGUCGAACGGCAGCACAGAGGAGCUUGCUCCUUGGGUGGCGAGUGGCGGACGGGUGAGGAAUACAUCGGAAUCUACUCUGUCGUGGGGGAUAACGUAGGGAAACUUACGCUAAUACCGCAUACGACCUACGGGUGAAAGCAGGGGAUCUUCGGACCUUGCGCGAUUGAAUGAGCCGAUGUCGGAUUAGCUAGUUGGCGGGGUAAAGGCCCACCAAGGCGACGAUCCUUAGCUGGUCUGAGAGGAUGAUCAGCCACACUGGAACUGAGACACGGUCCAGACUCCUACGGGAGGCAGCAGUGGGGAAUAUUGUACAAUGGGCGCAAGCCUGAUCCAGCCAUACCGCGUGGGUGAAGAAGGCCUUCGGGUUGUAAAGCCCUUUUGUUGGGAAAGAAAUCCAUCUGGUUAAUACCCGGGUGGGAUGACGGUUCCCAAAGAAUAAGCACCGGCUAACUUCGUGCCAGCAGCCGCGGUAA